ACGGGAGGCAGCAGUGGGGAAUAUUGCACAAUGGGCGCAAGCCUGAUGCAGCAACGCCGCGUGAGGGAAGACGGUCUUCGGAUUGUAAACCUUUGUCCUUGGUGACGAAAAAAAUGACGGUAGCCGAGGAGGAAGCCACGGCUAACUACGUGCCAGCAGCCGCGGUAAUACGUAGGUGGCAAGCGUUGUCCGGAUUUACUGGGUGUAAAGGGAGCGCAGGCGGGGGAGCAAGUCAGCUGUGAAAUAUACGGGCUUAACUCGUAGACUGCAGUUGAAACUGUUCUUCUUGAGUGAAGUAGAGGUAGGCGGAAUUCCGAGUGUAGCGGUGAAAUGCGUAGAGAUUCGGAGGAACACCAGUGGCGAAGGCGGCCUACUGGGCUUUAACUGACGCUGAGGCUCGAAAGUGUGGGGAGCAAACAGGAUUAGAUACCCUGGUA
rnacentral:rRNA from 1 species